rnacentral:lncRNA from 1 species
CUAAAACUGUAAGAGAGUUCCUGACUGUGACCCUUAACAGUCAUUCUCUUACCUUAUAACAAACCUAGAAAUGAGAAAAUGCUUGAGCAGAUUGGCCUGGUGGUGUGGGAGGAUGAAUGGAUUCUUGGGGAUAUUGGGGGUUAGCUUGAGCAGCACACCGAUGAUCCAGUAGCUUCAGUGAUCUCAGCCAGGAAGCUUAAAAUAGACCAGCAAGUGGAUCUGAGAUGUUUUUAGCAAGCUGGUUGCUGACUUACUGUGGCCUUUGCCAAAAUCAGCAAUCAGAGAAGGAAGAGAGGCUGGUUUACCACAUUUCUCCUUAGCUCCUGUUUCCCCACAGGUCUCCAUUAGGAUAUCAGCAAGUAAUUACUCAGUAAGUAAACCAUCUAUGUUGAGUUGCUUCUUUAAAAUUGGCUUACUUGGAACUAUGCUGUGAGAUUGGCAAAUCAUCUACCUAGACGCAGCGGAACAUGUGUUACGGCUCAUCUCCUUCAGACCAGAGGCUGUUCCAGUGGCCAUAAAUCCAUUCUGGAACAAGGGGAGGCUUCUUGUGAAAGUCAAGUCCAGAAUGUGCUCAGUAAUGAAAGUAAAUAGGGCACAGAACAUGAGAACAUGAACAGGCCUGGAGAAGAGAUGUCCCAAGUCCAUCAUUGCGCAAAGGAGGAAACUGAAGCCCAGAGAGGAAGACAAGUGACCCAGGAUGACAGCUACUGAGUGGAGCAGAGUCAUACCUGGCCCUGAAUCUUCAGACUUCCAGCCUGAGCCUCCCAAGCCUCAUCUUUUGUUGUUUGGCAAAAAGGGCUGCAUAGCAAUGCAAAGUCAGGUGGAACGGAGCACAGGCCUAAGCUUGGCAAAUGUCCCUGAAAACCUGUUGCGAUGAUUAAAAGUUAAUAUGUGUUGGGCGCUUCACACAGUGUCUGGGCCAUAGCAGAUGCUCAGAAGAGGGCUGUCCAUGGGAAAAGUCCACACUGGGUCAUCCCAAGAAAGAUGGGUUUGUUGUGCCCGUGCUUUCACCCGCAUCAAGCCCACAAUUACCCAGUGUCCAUUCCAUGAAGGUGUGGAAAAGGGUCUUUGAUCAAUUUAAAGAUUAGUUUGGUAGUCAUAGAUAGAUAGAGUGAAUGCAACAUGAAGAGAAAAGUCUCAAUGUUUUUUCUAGGAACUGCUAUAGGAAUGAGUUUGGUGACUUUCACUAUCUGAGAUCCCUUAUCUGCAUCUCUAAGCCUGAGGCUCAGCCUGAAUGAAGGACCAGUGUUUCCCCCAUGUGCAGUCUGAGGCCCACUUGGAAAUGCUCCCCUGGGCUUGGAAAAUUCCCCAAGGGGAGAAAGAUCCAUGUCAGUCCCUACCCAGGGCUUCCAGCAUGGAGGUGGCUGGAGGAGGCAGGCUGGCUGGCUCUGCAUUCUUCAUGCCCCUGUUCUCUAUGGCAGGCCUCCUGCAGUCUCUGUGCUGACAUUAAGUGGUCUGAGCAGUGCUGUGGGAGGACAUGGUAAACUUGCCUGCUUGUAACAGAGAAGCGAGGGCUUUGGUGACUUCCAAGAUUUAAGCAUACAUUUUUCCAAAUCUUUUGGACCCUAACAUGCAUGGUCUGAGAACUUCUUGGCUCACUGCUGAAUCCCCUUAACCCCACAGCCACCCGUUUGUUCACUGUCCUCAUUAUGCUCCCUCCCUGUCCCUGCCUAGGGCAACAGGAGCCUCAGAGCCUUGUAUACAACCACUGUGGCUGUAUUUUCCUUAUUUUGAUACAGAACUCACUCCAGGCUUCAUUUCCUUCUCCUCCUAUUUCAAACCCUCUCUUGCCUGGGACUUCCCAGCCUCAACCUUGUUGACAUCACUCCCAGGUUCUCCUUUCUGGCUUUCAUCUAGCUGCUUCUCAGUGCAGCAUCUUUGAAUCCACCCCUUCAGCAACACACUCAACAGUUACAAGCACCUGAAGUCCUGUUCUUGGGGCCAACCCAGUAACCAGAUCUAGGUUGGGCUCAGGGCCAAGGUGCAGGGGAGAUAGAAACGUUUCCAACAAUAUCUAAAUUCAAUUUCUGUGACAGCCAGUGUCAUUGCCCUCAUCCAUCCCAUGCCCAGUAUCCUUUGGGCCCUAAAGUUUCAGUAUCUACAUCUUUGUACAUGAGGGUUUUUACCCCUUCCUUUCCUUAGAAGUGCCACAGCCCCCAGAGUAGCUUUCAACAAACACUAACAACACUAACAAGAGGUGGUGUGUAAAUACUCCAGCUUCCCUGUGCCUCAGGUGGUAAGGCUCUGAGAAGUGGGUUUCCCACCACGGUCUUUCCAUGGGUUAAGGUCUCAGCCAGGGUAACUGGUUUAGUAACUCACAUGUUAUUGGCAGCUUUCACUUCUCUACCACACCCCUCCAGUGGACCCUACAUCUUCCAAAUAAACCUCUUGUGCUCAAAUCUGUGUCUUAAAGUUAGCUUCCAGGGAAAGCCAAAGUAAGACAGUUUUGAAACUCAUUCCUUGGUGGGAAAUUGGAAAUGGACCAAGACUAGAAAGGAUGAGUAGGCUGUUGUCAUGCCACACCGACGGAGGUGCUCAAUCUGGGCUCUAAGCAGUGCCCAGCCUACACACGCGACCUUGAUGGAGGUCACCCCCCUCCAUGUGAAGCCCUCAGCAGCUCACCCACCUCACCCUGGUCCUGGCCCCACCUGUGGAGGAAUCUGAAGUGGCAUCCUGAAUGCUAAUUCUUAUUAUCUGUAAUAGCAUCACCAGUUUGGAGUUGCCUGAUAAUUUCAUAUCUAUGCAAUUAUUGUUAAUGUAACUAUCUUCCAUUUUAGAAUGUGAUCUCUGAAAGAUCUUGUGCUAGUUUGAAUCAUUUUCAGAUUAUGUAAUAGGACACUGUGAGGACUAAAUUGUUUUUCCUUUCUCCCUAAAUUCAUCUUGGAGCCCUAAACCUCAAUGUGACUGUAUUUGGAGAUAAAGCCUUUAAUUAGGUAAGUAAGGGUACAUGAGGUCAUAAAGAUGGGGCCCAGAUCUGAUAGGACUGUUGGUAACAGACACCAGAAAUCUCCUCUCCUGUGCACUCAAAGAGACUCUAUGUGCCCAGAGCGAGACGGUGGCUGCCCAGAAGCCAAAAGAAGAGGCCUCAGCGUGCAACCUACCUUUCCAUGC